CUGAACCACAUUUGUGGUGAUGAAAGGUUUGGUCAGAAAAGGAGGCUGGGGUAAAACAGCAUCUAUUCUGUCAUUUGAAGAAUGGGAAGGAUUUUGCUAGAACAAGAGAGGGUGGGAAAAUAAGAAAGGAAAAUAGAACAUUUUAGGGAAAGGGAAUAGUGUGUGCAAAGAUGAAGAAGUAUAAAAGAAAAUGUAGCUUAUUCCAGAAACUGCUAAAAGGAUCAAUAUGGUGAGAAUAUCACAGUAGCUGUCGUGUCAUGAGAGAGCCACAAUUCUUCAAACAUAUUUAACUGCUGGAGAGAAUGGCUCAGAAUCCCAGGUAUCAGCUUCAGCACACAUCUCUUCUUGGCCCUUGACAGAAGAAGCAGAGUAACUUUUCUUAGGUGGCAUAAUUCUUCAAAAUGUGUUCAUUUUGAAGAACAGGGGUGAUGGAUGGUAAUACACAGGCAGGGAUCAACAGUCCCAGAACUGAAGGAAGAGUUGACAAAUGUAUCAAAGAUGCCUAAUCAAA
rnacentral:lncRNA from 10 species